CAAAUCCGGAAAAUCAAGGCUGAGGCGUGAUGACGAGGCACUGCGGUGCUGAAGCAACAAAUGCCCUGCUUCCAGGAAAAGCCUCUAAGCAUCAGGUAACAUCAAAUCGUACCCCAAACCGACACAGGUGGUCAGGUAGAGAAUACCAAGGCGCUUGAGAGAACUCGGGUGAAGGAACUAGGCAAAAUGGUGCCGUAACUUCGGGAGAAGGCACGCUGAUAUGUAGGUGAAGUCCCUCGCGGAUGGAGCUGAAAUCAGUCGAAGAUACCAGCUGGCUGCAACUGUUUAUUAAAAACACAGCACUGUGCAAACACGAAAGUGGACGUAUACGGUGUGACGCCUGCCCGGUGCCGGAAGGUUAAUUGAUGGGGUUAGCGCAAGCGAAGCUCUUGAUCGAAGCCCCGGUAAACGGCGGCCGUAACUAUAACGGUCCUAAGGUAGCGAAAUUCCUUGUCGGGUAAGUUCCGACCUGCACGAAUGGCGUAAUGAUGGCCAGGCUGUCUCCACCCGAGACUCAGUGAAAUUGAACUCGCUGUGAAGAUGCAGUGUACCCGCGGCAAGACGGAAAGACCCCGUGAACCUUUACUAUAGCUUGACACUGAACAUUGAGCCUUGAUGUGUAGGAUAGGUGGGAGGCUUUGAAGUGUGGACGCCAGUCUGCAUGGAGCCGACCUUGAAAUACCACCCUUUAAUGUUUGAUGUUCUAACGUUGACCCGUAAUCCGGGUUGCGGACAGUGUCUGGUGGGUAGUUUGACUGGGGCGGUCUCCUCCUAAAGAGUAACGGAGGAGCACGAAGGUUGGCUAAUCCUGGUCGGACAUCAGGAGGUUAGUGCAAUGGCAUAAGCCAGCUUGACUGCGAGCGUGACGGCGCGAGCAGGUGCGAAAGCAGGUCAUAGUGAUCCGGUGGUUCUGAAUGGAAGGGCCAUCGCUCAACGGAUAAAAGGUACUCCGGGGAUAACAGGCUGAUACCGCCCAAGAGUUCAUAUCGACGGCGGUGUUUGGCACCUCGAUGUCGGCUCAUCACAUCCUGGGGCUGAAGUAGGUCCCAAGGGUAUGGCUGUUCGCCAUUUAAAGUGGUACGCGAGCUGGGUUUAGAACGUCGUGAGACAGUUCGGUCCCUAUCUGCCGUGGGCGCUGGAGAACUGAGGGGGGCUGCUCCUAGUACGAGAGGACCGGAGUGGACGCAUCACUGGUGUUCGGGUUGUCAUGCCAAUGGCACUGCCCGGUAGCUAAAUGCGGAAGAGAUAAGUGCUGAAAGCAUCUAAGCACGAAACUUGCC
rnacentral:rRNA from 1 species